ACGUGAACAGCAGCAGCAACAUACAGCAAUUUAACAACUCCAAAACUCAGUACUAAGGCUUCACCACCAAGCGACGCCACGGUGCGGCUGCUGCGAUUUUCAAACGCAAUUUAAAAAUACAUAUCCUUCUCAAAUUUCGAAAGGGUGCUCGAUUCCAUCACUAAAAUUCUGGGUCUUUCCAAAUACACAAAGGUCCAUUUACACAUUAUGGCCAGUUAAUUGUCGGUCCCCUUAAGAGACAAAAGUGUGAGAGCCACGAUGUUUGUUAGAGAGCAUAGCCUUGAAUAGUAUAGCACAGCAAGGUGAUGGGAAAGGGAAGUGAGGGUGAGAAGGAGAGAGGAAUGUAGGUUACGAGGAGGGAAAAGAAGAUGGGAGAACGAGUACAGAGAGAGAGAAAAAAAACAGAAACGGACAAGUAGAUAGAAAGGGUAUUAAGAGACCGAGAAAAGAGAAAGAAGGCGAGAAACCAACCAUACAGAGAGAGAGAGAGAGAGAGAAAAUAGAAACUGAGAAAUAGACAGAAAGCAAGGAAACGGAGAAAAAAAUGAUAGAAGGGGACAAAACCAACUGCGCAGAAAGAACAAGAGAAACAAAGACAUAUAAAGAAAAGAUAAAGAGGAAAAUAAAAGAGAUAGGCAAGCGAAUAAAGAGAGAGAAAAAGACAGAAGGGCACGGAAAGAAACAGACACUGAGAAAGAAUUUGAAAGCAACAGAGAAACAGAUUGUAGGAGAGAGGCCCACUAUAGAGAGAGGGGGGGGGGGGGGGGAGAGUGAAAGAAGUAACAAAUAGAAGAAAUAGAUGAAAACCUAGAAGGUCAGAGACCGACUACACUGAGGGAGAUAGAGAAAGAAAGACACAGCAAGACAGCUCAAG
rnacentral:lncRNA from 1 species